CCCUUAGAUGUUCUGGGCUGCACGCGCGCUACACUGAUGCGAUCAACAAGUUUUUCCUAUGUCGAUAGACACGGGUAAUCUUUUGAACUCGCAUCGUGAUGGGGAUAGAUUAUUGUAAUUAUUAAUCUUCAACGAGGAAUUCCUAGUAGGUGCAAAUCAUCAGUUUGCAUCGAUUACGCCCCUGCCCUUUGUACACACCGCCCGUCGCUGCUACCGAUUGGUUGAUCUGGUGAAUUAUUCGGACUGCCGGCUGAAGGGGUUUCCUCAUCUGCCAGCGGAAAGUCUUGUUAACCCUAUCAACUAGAGGAAGCAGAAGUCGUAACA
rnacentral:rRNA from 1 species